GACGAACGCUGGCGGCGUGCCUAAUACAUGCAAGUAGAGCGCUGAAGAGAGGAGCUUGCUCUUCUUGGAUGAGUUGCGAACGGGUGAGUAACGCGUAGGUAACCUGCCUUGUAGCGGGGGAUAACUAUUGGAAACGAUAGCUAAUACCGCAUAACAAUGGAUGACACAUGUCAUUUAUUUGAAAGGGGCAAUUGCUCCACUACAAGAUGGACCUGCGUUGUAUUAGCUAGUAGGUGAGGUAACGGCUCACCUAGGCGACGAUACAUAGCCGACCUGAGAGGGUGAUCGGCCACACUGGGACUGAGACACGGCCCAGACUCCUACGGGAGGCAGCAGUAGGGAAUCUUCGGCAAUGGGGGCAACCCUGACCGAGCAACGCCGCGUGAGUGAAGAAGGUUUUCGGAUCGUAAAGCUCUGUUGUAAGUCAAGAACGAGUGUGAGAGUGGAAAGUUCACACUGUGACGGUAGCUUACCAGAAAGGGACGGCUAACUACGUG
rnacentral:rRNA from 1 species